rnacentral:rRNA from 1 species
AAUGAACGCUGGCGGCAUGCCUUACACAUGCAAGUCGAACGGCAGCAUGACCUAGCUUGCUAGGUUGAUGGCGAGUGGCGCACGGGUGAGUAAUGCAUCGGAACGUGCCUUUUAGUGGGGGAUGACGUAGCGAAAGUUACGCUAAUACCGCAUAUUCUCUGAGGAGGAAAGCAGGGGACCUUCGGGCCUUGCGCUAGAAGAGCGGCCGAUGUCGGAUUAGCUAGUUGGUGAGGUAAAGGCUCACCAAGGCAACGAUCCGUAGCGGGUCUGAGAGGAUGAUCCGCCACACUGGGACUGAGACAAGGCCCAGACUCCUACGGGAGGCAGCAGUGGGGAAUUUUGGACAAUGGGCGCAAGCCUGAUCCAGCCAUGCCGCGUGAGUGAAGAAGGCCUUCGGGUUGUAAAGCUCUUUCGGCUGGGAAGAAAUCGCACCCUCUAAUACAGGGUGUGGAUGACGGUACCAGCAUAAGAAGCACCGGCUAACUACGUG